CCUACGGGUGGCAGCAGUGGGGAAUAUUGGACAAUGGGGGCAACCCUGAUCCAGCCAUGCCGCGUGUGUGAAGAAGGCCCUCGGGUUGUAAAGCACUUUCAGUGAGGAAGAACGCCUGGUGGUUAAUACCCAUCAGGAAAGACAUCACUCACAGAAGAAGCACCGGCUAACUCCGUGCCAGCAGCCGCGGUAAUACGGAGGGUGCGAGCGUUAAUCGGGAUUACUGGGCGUAAAGCGCGUGUAGGUGGCUUGAUAAGCCGGUUGUGAAAGCCCCGGGCUCAACCUGGGAACGGCAUCCGGAACUGUCAAGCUAGAGUGCAGGAGAGGAAGGUAGAAUUCCCGGUGUAGCGGUGAAAUGCGUAGAGAUCGGGAGGAAUACCAGUGGCGAAGGCGGCCUUCUGGACUGACACUGACACUGAGGUGCGAAAGCGUGGGUAGCAAACAGGAUUAGAUACCCCAGUAGUC
rnacentral:rRNA from 1 species